UCUCCACGACCUGCCCCAGCGCGGGGCCCUUCCACAGGGUGCAGUCCUCAGACACGGGCUGCUCCAGGCUGGGGGGCAGAAUUAACUAUCCCAGGCAAAACCAGCACGGCAUGCCAGCUAUCUUAAGGCCUGAAAUAAACUUCUUGUCAGCAGUGAAAUAACAAAACAUUUAACAGUUAUGCAAAGAUACAUUGAAGAGCGGGUCAGCAAGCGGGUGGUUCCUGAAGGAGCAAAGGAGUUGCAGAAUCUCCUUUGUCUGUAGCUGCAAGAAGAGCAGAGCAUGGGCAAGGUGGAGAGAGGAAGGACAUUCUUGCUGUACAGGAUGCCUCUUUCCUAUGUAAAAAAAAUGUUGUGGAUCAUACCAGGAAUUACAGGUUAACCAUCUCUGGUGUAGCCAAUGAACACAGAAAUAGAGGGCUGUUGCAGAAAGACCAAACACCUCCCAAGUGCCCUCAUGCCGUGUUAGGCCUGGCAACAUGUACCUGCAGUUUCACGCUAUGAAGACAACACACCAGCAGGCUCAGAAUCGGCUCAUAUUACAGACACCCCAAAACAAAGAAUCUACAGCAGAUUUCUCUCUCUCUGUGUAUGUAUAUGAAGAAGACUCUGAUCUGACAAGAAAAUUACAUACUUGGCAAAGAAAGACUUAAAAAUAUAGGGCCUGACUGCCAUGUGUAAUGUUUUGAAAGGUCUGAAAGAUGUAAUUUUGUAAGACAGUGGGCCCUAGAUCCUGCCUGUCUCUGAGAAAACAACCUAGCAAAGCCCUGGGAUAAGAACUAGCACUUGCCAUUAUUCAGAAUAACCCUCAGUUUGCCAUGCUCUGUUGUAGUGGUCGCUCCCUGAGAUAGCAGGGGUAGAGUCUGGAUUUUGCUGGGCAUUAGGCAGUGGUGUCUCUAUUGCUGUCUUUACCACCCAUUUACAGGUCACACAGAGAAACCGGGGAGGUAGAAAGUCUAUUGGCAUUUUAUUCUAGAGCUGUUCUAGCAGCCAAGCUCAGAGCUUGCAUCUGACUGAUAGUUUAGGAUUGCACCUUUCCGUACACUAUUCAGUACUUCUAACUCCCCAAGAGAAGUUCUUUCAAACCCUAAUUAAGUGACUAAACUGCACAAAACACCAGAGGUAGAUUAAGAAUCUUUAUUCUAUUUUGUACAGAUGUUAUGUAGUGUGUGGAGCAGUAAGCAUCAGGAUUUAUCAUGGUUUGUGAGGAUGUUUGCAAUGUGUUGUAAGAGCAGCUCUGCUUACUCACCAACAAGUAACUUGAGGGUCUUUAUUUCUGCAUGUGGCACAGGGAGAUGAGAAAAAGCUGGGAAGUUGUGCUGAAGUGCUAUCAUUCCCCACUCCCAUUCAGCUUUAUGCUUCUCCAUGGAUAAGGCUGUGUGAUUCCCUGGAGAAUUACUGGGACACCUGCCAAACCAGAGUCAGAGAGAAAGCAAAAUGCAGAUGGACCAGUCCCCAUCGCGGGUCUCAAAACAAACUGCCUCUUAGUACCUGAGUGUCCACACUGUGGUGCCUGGCAUUAUUUGCUUCAGAAAACAAGGUGGAAAAAUCUAUCUCCAAAAGAUGACUUAUCAUUAGGAAGGGGUCUCUGUGAGCAGAAUUAGUCCUGUCUGCAGUGGAGGAACCCACGUCCAUGUAAUGUGGAUUGAUGAAAAAGCUCCUGUCAAGAGUCCUUGCCUUUGCCUUGUCACAGGCAAACUCAGCUUGUCAGGUUUUGCUCUCCCAGUGUUGUUCAGCUUUAGCAUUGGUGAAGCGGGCAGCGAGGAAAGAAAGGUGUUAAUGACACUGCAGAAAUCACAGUGAGCUCUGAUCUAAAACCCUGUGUGCAGCUUCCCCCGCCCCAGG